CAAUAGCGUAUAUUAAAGUUGUUGCGGUUAAAAAGUUCGUAGUUGGAUUUCUGCCAAGGACGACCGGUCCGCCCUCUGGGUGAGUAUCUGGCUUGGCCUCGGCAUCUUCUUGGAGAACGUUGCUGCACUUCGCUGUGUGGCGCGGUAUCCAGGACCUUUACUUUGAGGAAAUUAGAGUGUUUCAAGCAGGCAUCCGCCUUGAAUACAUUAGCAUGGAAUAAUAAGAUAGGACCUCGGUUCUAUUUUGUUGGUUUCUAGAGCUGGGGUAAUGAUUAAUAGGGAUAGUUGGGGGCAUUCGUAUUUAACUGUCAGAGGUGAAAUUCUUGGAUUUGUUAAAGACGGACUACUGCGAANGNAUUUGCNAAGGAUGUUUNCAUUG
rnacentral:rRNA from 1 species